rnacentral:lncRNA from 1 species
UCACUCACAAUUCACAAAAAACUAGGUCUUCCAAGUUUUUUUUUUAAAGAUUAAGGUCUACAAGUUUUCAACACAAAAGAAACCUGCUUUGCCUGCAUAGGAGGGAAAACCUAAACUAAUAAUAAUUUCAAAUCUGGGCAUGGAAGGUGUGCAGCUUGCAGGGAGAAUUCUAGUGAGAACGAAGCAUCUUAACUUUAGGUGCCCCCUUCUUCAUUUGCCGUGCUCUAUCCUUCUCCUCUCUCUUGCGCAUAGCUUCUGCACUGAGCUUAACAGAGGCCUCAUCGGCAAGGCGUUUCUUUUC